CAGANCUUGCUCUGGCGGAUCAGUGGCGAACGGGUGAGUAACACGUGAGUAACCUGCCCCCGACUCUGGGAUAACUGCUAGAAAUGGUAGCUAAUACCGGAUAUGACGACUGGCCGCAUGGUCUGGUCGUGGAAAGAAUUUCGGUUGGGGAUGGACUCGCGGCCUAUCAGGUUGUUGGUGAGGUAAUGGCUCACCAAGCCUACGACGGGUAGCCGGCCUGAGAGGGUGACCGGCCACACUGGGACUGAGACACGGCCCAGACUCCUACGGGAGGCAGCAGUGGGGAAUAUUGCACAAUGGGCGCAAGCCUGAUGCAGCAACGCCGCGUGAGGGAUGACGGCCUUCGGGUUGUAAACCUCUUUUAGUAGGGAAGAAGCGAAAGUGACGGUACCUGCAGAAAAAGCACCGGCUAACUACGUGCCAGCAGCCGCGGUAAUACGUAGGGUGCAAGCGUUGUCCGGAAUUAUUGGGCGUAAAGAGCUCGUAGGCGGUUUGUCGCGUCUGCUGUGAAAUCCCGAGGCUCAACCUCGGGUCUGCAGUGGGUACGGGCAGACUAGAGUGCGGUAGGGGAGAUUGGAAUUCCUGGUGUAGCGGUGGAAUGCGCAGAUAUCAGGAGGAACACCGAUGGCGAAGGCAGAUCUCUGGGCCGUAACUGACGCUGAGGAGCGAAAGCAUGGGGAGCGAACAGGAUUAGAUACCCUGGUAGUCCAUGCCGUAAACGUUGGGAACUAGAUGUGGGGACCAUUCCACGGUCUCCGUGUCGCAGCUAACGCAUUAAGUUCCCCGCCUGGGGAGUACGGCCGCAAGGCUAAAACUCAAAGGAAUUGACGGGGGCCCGCACAAGCGGCGGAGCAUGCGGAUUAAUUCGAUGCAACGCGAAGAACCUUACCAAGGCUUGACAUAUACCGGAAACAUGCAGAGAUGUGUGCCCCGCAAGGUCGG
rnacentral:rRNA from 1 species